UUUAUUCUCUACUAACAAGCUCUUAGCAGGCACUGUAAAAGUUUUCCACUGAGGGAUAUGUCAUGUAAGAGGUUUUGAGAAAGGUUUUCCAGGUGGGAACCGAGCUUUGGAAUGAUAGAUGACUUAGUUGGGGAAGAAAUAAUUGGUCAGGCAUGAACUGAGAUUUUGAAUGAGACAAGAAUGAUGUUAAGUAACCACUUUGAUAUGACUUACCUAGGUGAUGCUUUUGUUGUUUUAGGCAUCCAGAUUUUUUUGUGAAUGGUCACGUG
rnacentral:lncRNA from 1 species